UACGGGGGGGGCAAGCGUUGUUCGGAAUUACUGGGCGUAAAGGGUUCGUAGGUGGCCAACUAAGUCAGACGUGAAAUCCCUCAGCUUAACUGGGGAACUGCGUCUGAGACUGGAUGGCUUGAGUGCAGGAGAGGAACGCGGAAUUCCAGGUGUAGCGGUGAAAUGCGUAGAUAUCUGGAGGAACACCGGUGGCGAAGGCGGCGUUCUGGACUGCUACUGACACUGAGGAACGAAAGCCAGGGGGGCAAACGGG
rnacentral:rRNA from 1 species